rnacentral:ncRNA from 1 species
AGAGCAGGGGAGCUUGUUUUGACAGGCUGAGAGGAAGGAAUCACCUUCGACCCUUUAAACCUGAUGUGGGUAAUGCCGCCGUAGGAAGAUAUUUU